rnacentral:rRNA from 1 species
GAUGAACGCUGGCGGCGUGCUUAACACAUGCAAGUCGAACGAAGCACCUUGAUUUGAUUCUUCGGAUGAAGAUCUUGGUGACUGAGUGGCGGACGGGUGAGUAACGCGUGGGUAACCUGCCUCAUACAGGGGGAUAACAGUUAGAAAUGACUGCUAAUACCGCAUAAGACCACAGCACCGCAUGGUGCAGGGGUAAAAACUCCGGUGGUAUGAGAUGGACCCGCGUCUGAUUAGGUAGUUGGUGGGGUAACGGCCUACCAAGCCGACGAUCAGUAGCCGACAUGGGAGGCUGCCCGGCCACAUUGGGACUGAGACACGGCCCAAACUCCUACGGGAGGCAGCAGUGGGGAAUAUUGCACAAUGGGGGAAACCCUGAUGCAGCGACGCCGCGUGAGCGAUGAAGUAUUUCGGUAUGUAAAGCUCUAUCAGCAGGGAAGAAAAUGACGGUACCUGACUAAGAAGCACCGGCUAAAUACGUG